GUCACAUCCGCUACAUUGUUAUGGUUGUUACCAUAGAUACGGAUAUGUGAAUACGGUUGUAACAGCUUUUUUAUGUUGAGUUUUGGGCUUCGCGGAGGAGCGCCGACAUGCCCGGCCAUUGCUGCUGCAUUCACGGCUGUUCCAGUGGUUCACACGGUAAGAACGAAGAGAAAUUAAACAACGGACUGCGUUUCUUCUGCUUUCCGAGGUGGAAAAAACAUGAAGACAAACUUGUGUGAGGUGACGAGGAGACACCGAAUGGCCUGAGUAACAGCAGUUGGAAGGAACGACGUCACUUUCGACUGCAUUUUAUCAUCAAAAAGGGUCUGCCCCUUCAUUUUCAUUCAGGAAAUCCAGCGUAUGAAAUGCUAACAACCCAUUCUGAUUGGAAACCGUCUCUGCUGCUGGGCCAGAAGGAGGUCAUUCAAGAAAAAGAGCAGCAGGAGACGCCACACACAGCUGAGGUUGUGCAAAAAUGUGAAGAGGAAGAGGAGAAACGGGAGGAAACCGGCCUCUCACUACCUGUCGAGGAAAGUUCAGAGGAAAACAUGCUUGACCAACGUGCUUAGAAGCAAAUCACUAGUCUAAAGAGUGAACUCACUGAACUUAAUCUUACAGAACUGCUCUUAUGGAGUGACAAAAAGGUAAAAUAUUACACCAGACUUCAGAGCCAUUCCACUUUUCAGGUCUUGUUGCGCCGCAUCAAACCUUUCCUGCCGCAGGUUCCAACAAAGUUGACUCACUUUCAGAUGGUCCUCCUCACCUUAAUGCGUCUGAAGUUGAAUUUUCCAGUGGAUCAGAUAAGUUAGUUAUUUAACAUGCAGCAGAAACCUCUAACGCUGCAUUCAAGGACGUGAUCUGUGCGUUGUACGCAUGCAUGUCUUCUCUGGUCCACUGGCCGGACAGAGAGCGGGUGUGGGCCAGUAUGUCUCAGCUGUUCCUGGAGACAUUUGAAAGACAGCUUGCCAUGAUCGUCGACUGUUUUGAGGUUUCCACAGAAGACGCCGUCCAAUAUGGAGUCAGGGGACGGACACAGUGGCACGGUGAAAUACGUCACCGGCAUCCCUCCACAGGGAGUCAUUUCCCUGUGGAGGUGAAGGGGGCAGCAGUGACGUAGAAAUCACAGAAAGCUGUGGUCGGCUGGACAAACUGCAGCAGCGUGACGUAGUUCUGCGUUUUAACAUGAAGGACGGUCUGGGCUUGGUGUGUGCUGAGGUCAAAAGGUCAUCACCAGACAGCCACAAUGAGCUGGAUCAGAAGACAUCUGAGGAAACAAGAUGGCUAACGCACAUUAGAAGCCAUGUUAGGAGAAUUAUUGGUUCUGUUUGCAACAAAUCUAAAAUAUUACAUUCAAGCUUUCACAUCAGGAUGAUUGAACCGUGUGAGGGACAGACGGAGACGCUGCUAGACAAGGUCGUAGCAGUUUGUUAUGCUCUUAUAAAUCUGUGUCCAAAUGGUGUUCUUUCAUUGCAAAAAGGAAAUUAACAAAAACUGUAGGGCAGCUGUAAACUCUCGUAUUAUUAUGACUUUAUUUUCGUACCAAUUUUUCUUAAUAACAUGACUUUAUUCUUGUAAUUUUAUUUUUUCUUAGUAUGGCCGUAAUACAUGUGUGUUACAAAGUUGUGAAUGAUCACAUUGCAAACCAAUAAAGACUUAUAAUUCUUCUGUAA